UCCAUACCAUGCUGAAAACACCGGCUCUCGUCCGAUCACCAAAGUUAAGCAUCAAUGGGAGCGAUCAGUACUUGUGUGGGUGC